rnacentral:lncRNA from 1 species
AUGGCAGUCUCAUGGGAGCUGUAUGGCAGUCUCAUGGGAGCUGUAUGGCAUCUCAUGGGAGCUGUGCGGCAGUCUCGUGGGAGCUCUACGGCAGUCUCAUGGGAGCUGUAUGAGUCUCAUGGGAGCUGUACGGCAGUCUCAUGGGAGCUGUGCGGCAGUCUCGUGGGAGCUGUACGGCAGUCUCAUGGGAGCUGUCCGGCAGUCUCGUGGGAGCUGUACGGCAGUCUCAUGGGAGCUGUACGGCAGUCUCGUGGGAGCUGUACGGCAGUCUCGUGGAGCUGUACGGCAGUCCGUGUGAGCUGUAUGGCAGUCUCGUGGGAGCUUUGCGGCCGUCUCAUGGAGCUGUGCGGCAGUCUCAUGGGAGCGUGGCGGCAGUCUCAUGGGAGCUGUGCGGCAGUCUCAUGGAGCAUGUGCUGCAGUCUCAUGGGAGCUGUGCGGCAGUCUCGGGGCUACGUCACGUCUGCUAACGCAUGCAAGUUUAGAGGGAACAUUGCGUGGAAGCCUCAUGUUUUCAGACCAAUGGUCGCUUUACAUUUUAUGAACAUGUAACAUAACAUGAUCUAUUCCAAUUCCAGUGCCAUUUUCAAUGUUAUUCUAUUAUAUUCCAUUCUAUUAUAUUCCAGCUCCAUAUUAUAGUAGUAAUCUACUCUAUUGUAUUGUGUUCCAUUUUAUCUUGGGUCAGUGGAUGGUGCUUUGUGGAAGUGUGUUGUAUAGCCUAUGUCACCAACAGCAGAAAUAGCAUUUUGGCAUUGAUAGUAGAAUAAUUUUAGUCGGCAACCAAAGUCGGAUGUUCGGUUGCAAAAUGUAGCUCCUCCUCCUCGGUCGUGCCCAAUUUCAACACAGACGGCAGUGAGGGUUCAUUGGGUAGUGGGUUGGUUGGCCCUACGUGGUGACGUAAACGGGCGUUUACAUUGGGAAAGUUCGUUUUGCUUGGCCCUGUGGCCCGUCUCAGCGGAGUUUAAAUGUUUUAAAACAAAGGUGUCAAACUCAUUCCACGGAGGGCCGAGUGUCGGUGGGUUUUGCGUUCUUCCCUUGUACUUGAGUGAUGAAUUAAGGUCAGUAAUUUGUAAGGAAUUCCUCACACCUGGUGGUCUUGGGCUGAAAUUGAAAGGGAAAAACAAAACCUUCGCAGGCCAUAGGCCAUCCAUGGAAUGACUUUGGCACGCCUGUUUUAGACCAUCCCAUUAUUGGUCCUUAAAGAAAAUCUCCACCCACCCGAGACAGCUGGCCAUGCAAAACGAACUGGCCCAUUGAUACUUCGCUCGAUACUGAACAGAAUGACAUCUCCAUACAUUAUUUAAAAACAAAUGUUGGGCUGUAUUUGUUGAGUUUGAACUGCUUUGUGAAAGUAGGCUACUGUUUUGUCAACUUCCGCACAACGGGAACAGGAAAAAGUGCGCCUAUGCAGGCUACUUGUAAUGUAGUCUAUGAGUGACUUGUCUAGUUUACCCUUUGCAAAGCGAAUUAUUGAAUGGUUGUUUAGCGAACCGAAACGUCACAUGUUCAUCUCGGGGAAUGCCUUUACUUUAAACUACUUUAUUUGCUAACGUGGCAUCAAAUAGAGAUUGGUGUCGGUUGUAGUUUCUGAUUGGUUAACUUCGAGUGGUGGUGUAGCUGGUUUGGCUUGUGUCCCAAAACUAGAGUACUGUCAAAAGAUCUGGGAGCUGUCGCAUAGUCAAGCUGGUCCGAACACUCACUAAAAUAUAAGAGAGAGGCAUACGUGUCUGUAUUGUAUUCACUUGCCCGU